AUAAAUUACAUUCUCUACCGCUAGUGGAGGGUCACGGUUACUAGAAAUUUCCCUCUCUCUCUAAAGCUCUACUGCCGCCUCCCUCCCUCACUCUCCACCGGCAGCGGCAUCCCCCCUUCGACCGUCCUCCACUAGUGCGGCGUCGCCCCUUCUGCCGUCUUCCAUCGGCGCGGCGUCGCCCUUUCAGCCCUCCUCACUUCAUCCAUCGGCGCGGCGUCCCCACUUUCGCCCUUGGCCCCUCAAUCGGCCUUCCCGUUUUGCCGGCGCGACCUGCCAAUAGUCGGCCUUCCACCUUCAGCAGCAAGCAACUCCUCCAUUCUCCUCCGGCAAUUCGGCGCGACACAGCACACAGAGACAUUUGGAGGAAUCUAAAGCGUCAUACGGAUGAGGACAUUCAAAAAGGUCAAGCUGUGAAAAAUCAAAGGGCCCUCUAGGAUAAGACACUUGAGUUCAGAUUCUUGCUGCAGAAACCAUUCUCAAGUUGUAAUAGACUUCCAGAGGAGCAGGUUAAGUCCUUAUAUUGUGAUGCUGAUAAUGAAGUCAGUGAAGCAUAUUCGGAUCUAAUUUCUUCGUCAAAGAAGACAUUGGAUUCUAUACUAGAGUUGCAACAGGCUCUGAUGACAAACAAUCCAUCUAUUACUCGAUUUGAAGAAGGAUAUGCUGGGAACGAAGCUAAAAUAUAAGAGACUUUUGCUGAAUUUUCCACGAAGAUUCUUGUUUUUGAAAAAAAAUAUUGUACUUUCUUUAUUUUGAUAUAUUUAAUCUCAUGUCGUAUAUUAGCUUCAUUUCAGUGUACAUUUAUCAGAUUAUGAAAUAUUGUGAAAGUAUAUAUGACAAUUAUAAUUUUUUGGUGCA